CGCUGAAAGACCAAGGGUUCCAGUCCAACGUUAAUCGGGGCUGGGUGAGUCGACCCCUAAGGCGAGGCCGAGAGGCGUAGUCGAUGGGAAAUUGGUUAAUAUUCCAAUACUUCUGUGUAAUGCGAUGAGAGGACGGAGUAAGUUAAGUCAGCCUGGCGUUGGUUGUCCAGGUGAAAGGAUGUAGGCAUGUAUCUUAGGCAAAUCCGGGGUACUCUAUGCUGAGAUCUGAUAGCAAGCUGUACUUGUACAGUGAAGUGGCUGAUACUAUGCUUCCAGGAAAAGUCUCUAAGCUUCAGUUGCACAGGAAUCGUACCCGAAACCGACACAGGUGGUCAGGUCGAGUAGACCAAAGCGCUUGAGAGAACUCUGCUGAAGGAACUAGGCAAAAUGGUACCGUAACUUCGGGAGAAGGUACGCUGCCGGCGGUGAUAGAACUUGCUUCUUGAGCUGCUGGCAGCCACAGAAACCAGGCCCCUGCAACUGUUUAUUAAAAACAUAGCACUCUGCAAACACGAAAGUGGACGUAUAGGGUGUGAUGCCUGCCCGGUGCUGGAAGGUUAAUUGAUGGGGUUAGCGUAAGCGAAGCUCUUGAUCGAAGCCCCAGUAAACGGCGGCCGUAACUAUAACGGUCCUAAGGUAGCGAAAUUCCUUGUCGGGUAAGUUCCGACCUGCACGAAUGGCAUAAUGAUGGGGGCGCUGUCUCCAGCAGAGGCUCAGUGAAAUCGAAAUCGCCGUGAAGAUGCGGUGUACCCGCGGCUAGACGGAAAGACCCCGUGAACCUUUACUGCAGCUUGACAUUGAACUUUGAUCUUACUUGUGUAGGAUAGGUGGGAGGCUUUGAAACCGCGACGCUAGUUGCGGUGGAGCCAAUCUUGAAAUACCACCCUGGUAAUAUUGAGGUUCUAACUCUGCUCCAUAAUCUGGAGCGAGGACCAUGUCUGGUGGGUAGUUUGACUGGGGCGGUCUCCUCCUAAAGAGUAACGGAGGAGUACGAAGGUGCGCUCAGCGUGGUCGGAAAUCACGCGUAGAGUAUAAAGGCAAAAGCGCGCUUAACUGCGAGACCCACAAGUCGAGCAGGUACGAAAGUAGGUCUUAGUGAUCCGGUGGUUCUGUAUGGAAGGGCCAUCGCUCAACGGAUAAAAGGUACUCUGGGGAUAACAGGCUGAUACCGCCCAAGAGUUCAUAUCGACGGCGGUGUUUGGCACCUCGAUGUCGGCUCAUCUCAUCCUGGGGCUGAAGCAGGUCCCAAGGGUAUGGCUGUUCGCCAUUUAAAGAGGUACGCGAGCUGGGUUUAGAACGUCGUGAGACAGUUCGGUCCCUAUCUACCGUGGGCGCUGGAAAUUUGAGAGGAUCUGCUCCUAGUACGAGAGGACCAGAGUGGACGAACCUCUGGUGUACCGGUUGUGACGCCAGUCGCAUCGCCGGGUAGCUAUGUUCGGAAGGGAUAACCGCUGAAAGCAUCUAAGCGGGAAGCCUACCUCAAGAUAAGAUUUCCCUAGGACUUUAUGUCCUCUAAAGAGCCGUUGAAGACUACGACGUUGAUAGGCUGGAUGUGGAAGUGCGGUGACGCAUGAAGCUGACCAGUACUAAUUGCUC
rfam:Acinetobacter bouvetii DSM 14964 = CIP 107468 genomic scaffold acLrD-supercont1.1, whole genome shotgun sequence.